rnacentral:rRNA from 1 species
CACGUAGGAGACGAGCGUUAUCCGGAUUCACUGGGCGUAAAGGGCAAGUAGGCGGUUGCUCAAGUUGGGCGUGACAAUCUCUGGCUUAACUAGGGAAGGACGUUCAAAACUAGGCAACUUGAGGGCAGGAGAGGAAAGCGGAAUUCCUAGUGUAGCGGUGGAAUGCUCAGAUACUAGGAGGAACACCGGUGGCGAAGGCGGCUUUCUGGUCUGCACCUGACGCUGAGAGGCGAAAGCUAGGGUAGCGAACGGGCUUAGAUACCCCGGUAGUCCUAGCUGUAAACGGUGGAUACUGGGUAUUGGGGGCUAACAUGCCUUCAGUGCCGAAGCCAACGCGUUAAGUAUCCCGCCUGGGGACUACGGCCGCAAGGUUAAA